UACGUAGGGGGCAAGCGUUGUCCGGAAUCAUUGGGCGUAAAGAGCGUGUAGGCGGCCAGAUAAGUCCGCUGUGAAAACUCGAGGCUCAACUUCGAGCUGUCGGUGGAAACUAUUUGGCUAGAGUCCGGAAGAGGAGAGUGGAAUUCCUGGUGUAGCGGUGAAAUGCGCAGAUAUCAGGAAGAACACCAACGGCGAAGGCAGCUCGCUGGGACGGUACUGACGCUGAGACGCGAAAGCGUGGGGAGCGAACAGG
rnacentral:rRNA from 1 species